rnacentral:rRNA from 1 species
AUUGAACGCUGGCGGCAUGCUUUACACAUGCAAGUCGAACGGUAACAGGCCGCAAGGUGCUGACGAGUGGCGAACGGGUGAGUAAUGCAUCGGAACGUGCCCAGUCGUGGGGGAUAACGCAGCGAAAGCUGCGCUAAUACCGCAUACGAUCUCUGGAUGAAAGCGGGGGACCGAAAGGCCUCGCGCGAUUGGAGCGGCCGAUGUCAGAUUGGGUAGUUGGUGGGGUAAAGGCUCACCAAGCCAACGAUCUGUAGCUGGUCUGAGAGGACGACCAGCCACACUGGGACUGAGACACGGCCCAGACUCCUACGGGAGGCAGCAGUGGGGAAUGUUGGACAAUGGGCGCAAGCCUGAUCCAGCAAUGCCGCGUGCAGGAAGAAGGCCUUCGGGUUGUAAACUGCUUUUGUACGGAACGAAACGGUCCUGGUUAAUACCUGGGGCUAAUGACGGUACCGUAAGAAUAAGCACCGGCUAACUACGUGCCAGCCGCCGCAGUAA